CACAUUUUUACAGAAUGAUUACUAUGCUAAAUUUCAAUGUCAGUGACAUAAAUGAAAAAAGUUACAAGGUAGCAGGAUUGUAGUGUGAAAGGUUGAAAGACAACGCUGAGAGGACCAGUCCUCGGAUUGCUGUCCCUCAGGAGGGAUUUCACACAUAAUGGUAGGAAAGGGAACACAGCAGGCUUGUGAGUGACUUCAUCACGAUGGACUUCAUACGUGCUGAGGCUAUGAUGAUAAAGGCACUACAGAUACAUACCACUGUGAUUCUAUUCUUGGAGUGUGAGCAUGUUCACUGAAAGAGGGGAAAACAGAGGGGAAGAGGAGGCCAUGUUGUCCUCCAUAAAAACUUACUGUGGGACAGUCUGGUGCCUCCAAGGAACAUGCACCAGCAUUCAGUUUGGGAACCUGGAUCAACCAUUACCUGCAUUGUGAUUGUGACAUCUGUAAUAGUUAUGCUGAAGGUCUCCCACAACAAUUAUUGUCAUCAUCAUCAUCAUAUUUAACAAGAUAAAGAUCAAUUUUUAAAAAUCCCAGUUACUGGUCAGUAGCUACUGAGGCUAUAUCUGGAGAGACCAGCGUUACACACUUACUACCUUCGGAGCAGUACGUGUGUUAGUUCUGUUUAGUUUUUUGUUUUUUUGCACAGAACCAUCAUCUUUAUUUGCUCUUGUUUUCCAAGGCCGUGCUCACUGUUCUUCUCUCUGUUGUGUCCAUUAAUAUGUCUAUGCCUUUUAUCACAAUUCUAACCACAGAGAGAAAUUCAUACCAGAUAUCAAAACAAAAAGUCUGCAGAAAUUACAAACUGAGGUAAAACCCGUGGAGCUGUCGGCUAGGUCCAGUUUCUCAUCACGCCGGUCAUUAGCCUGUGAUGGAUGUAAACCUAUAAAGUAUCUAAACUGAACCUUUUAACAAACCAUGAGCAAUACUAUCAUUUCUUUAAUAGAACUUGCUGACCGUGUCGUUCAGAGGUGCCAUUUGUCAUUUUCUGUGUGAAAUAAUCAAUAAUGCGGCUUUGAAAUAAAUAUAUAAGUCGGAGAACGUUAUAUCUUCUCAUGCUGGGUUGGACAAAGAACAGAAAUAGAUUUAUAAAAUAUACACAAACCUACAGUAUUAGUCUGUCUGUGUAUUAUAUUGUAAUGAGACCCAAAAUGAUGUUGUGGAAAUAUUAUUUUAGAUAAAAAAGACUAAAUGCUAUGAUGGACAUUUAUCACUGAAACACUGAAAUGGAUGCUUCUGUCUUUGCAUUCUUUUAGUUGGAAUUCUUCUAGCUUGUACUCUCGGUUUUGAAAAAUAAAUGAAACAAAAUAAAUGAGAAACACAGCAGUUGACAACAUGUAAAAUGAGCACAGAACAAGGAUAACUAUAAUAAUUCCAAAAUAAAUAUACAUGUUGCUGCAUGCAUGAUUACCACAAUGUUCAUAUUGAUACAUAUGGUUGUAAUACGUGUAUAU